UUCCGGUUGAUCCCGCCGGAGGGUACUGCUAUCGGAGUUCGAUUAAGCCAUGCAAGUCUACUCAUCCACUUGGGUGGGUGGCAAACGGCUGAGUAACACGUAGUCAAUCUGCCCUGAGGACGGGUAUAACCUUGGGAAACUGAGGCUAAUUCCCGAUAGGCGAUAGAAUCUGGAAUGAUCUAUCACCUAAAUGGCUGGCGAAUUGGAGCCAGACCGCCUUAGGAUGAGACUGCGGUUGAUUAGGUAGUUGGUGGGGUAACGGCCCACCAAGCCGAUAAUCAAUAGGGGCCAUGGGAGUGGUGGCCCCCAGAAGGGUACUGAGACAAGGACCCUAGCCCUACGGGGUGCAGCAGGCGCGAAACCUCUACAAUGCGCGAAAGCGUGAUAGGGGGACUCCGAGUGGCGAGGACUUAGUUCUCGUCUUUUGCGAAGUGUAAACAGCUUCGAGAAUAAGGGUGUGGGCAAGACUGGUGGCAGCCGCCGCGGUAACACCAGCGCCUCAAGUGGUACCCACGAAUAUUGGGCCUAAAGCGUCCGUAGCUGGAUUGAAAAGUCCGCUGUGAAAUAUUGGAGCUUAACUUCAAUGCGCGCAGUGGAUACUUUCUGUCUCGGGAACGGGGGAGGUUCGGGGUACUUCCAGGGUAGGAGUAAAAUCUUUUGAGCCUAGAAGGACCACCAGUGGCGAAGGCGCCGAACCAAAACGUGUCCGACAGUGAGGGACGAAAGCUGGGGGAGCGAACGGGAUUAGAUACCCCGGUAGUCCCAGCCGUAAAUGAUGCUGACUGUGGUGUUGCCUAUGAGUAAUCAUAAGCAGUGCUGUAGCGUAGGUGUUAAGUCAGCCGCCUGGGGAGUACGAUCGCAAGAUUGAAACU
rnacentral:rRNA from 1 species